CAGUGAAAAAUAGUAACGAAGUCCUUGAUCCUCCGCUGCCAAGAAAAGCUGCUAAGGAAUAUAGAGGUGCCCGUACCGCAAACCGACACAGGUAGACAGGUAGAGAAUACUAAGGCGCGCGAGAUAACUCUUGUUAAGGAACUCUGCAAAAUGAACCCGUAACUUCGGGAGAAGGGUUGCUCUCUAGCGUGAGUAUGAGCAAUACAGAGCGCAGGAGAGUCGCAGUGAAAAGGUCCAGGCGACUGUUUAGCAAAAACACAGGUCAUUGCAAAAUCGCAAGAUGAAGUAUAAUGGCUGACGCCUGCCCGGUGCUGGAAGGUUAAGGGGAAGAGUGCAAGCUUUGAACCGAAGCCCCAGUAAACGGCGGCCGUAACGAUAACGGUCCUAAGGUAGCGAAAUUCCUUGUCGGGUAAGUUCCGACCCGCACGAAAAGCGAAACGAUCUGGACGCUGUCUCAACAAGGGACUCGGUGAAAUUGAAAUUCCGGUAAAGAUGCCGGAUACCUGCGAUAGGACAGAAAGACCCCAUGGAGCUUUACUGUAGCCUGAUAUUGGGUUUCGGAUAUUCAUGUACAGGAUAGGUGGGAGACUAAGAAGCAUGGACGCCAGUUUGUGCGGAGUCACUGGUGGGAUACCACCCUUAAAUGUUUGGAAUUCUAACAAGGAGUCUUGAAGCAGAUUAUUGGACAGUGUCAGGUGGGCAGUUUGACUGGGGCGGUCGCCUCCCAAAAGGUAACGGAGGCGCUCAAAGGUUCCCUCAGAACGGAUGGAAAUCGUUCGCAGAGUGCAAAGGCAGAAGGGAGCUUGACUGCGAGAGCCACAACUCGAGCAGAUAGGAAACUAGGACUUAGUGAUCCGGCGGUCGCGAGUGGAAGUGCCGUCGCUCAACGGAUAAAAGCUACCCUGGGGAUAACAGGCUUAUCUCCCCCAAGAGUUCACAUCGACGGGGAGGUUUGGCACCUCGAUGUCGGCUCAUCGCAUCCUGGGGCUGAAGUAGGUCCCAAGGGUUGGGCUGUUAGCCCAUUAAAGCGGUACGCGAGCUGGGUUCAGAACGUCGUGAGACAGUUCGGUCCCUAUCCAUCGCGGGCGUAGGAAAUUUGAAGGGAGCUGACCCUAGUACGAGAGGACCGGGUUGGACAGACCGCUGGUGAACCAGUUGUUCUGCCAAGAGCAUAGCUGGGUAGCUAAGUCUGGAAAAGAUAAACGCUGAAAGCAUCUAAGCGUGAAGCGAACCUUAAGAUGAGAUUUCCCACAACGAAAGUUGAUAAGACACCAGAGAGAAUAACUGGUAGAUAGGUCAGGAGUGUAAGUGUGGUGACACAUUGAGCGGACUGAUACUAAUAAGUCGAAGACUUAGCC
rnacentral:rRNA from 1 species